CGAGAGAGGAGGCGUUGCGCUUGAAGGACAAGAAGCGGGACAGAGGCGGGGUCUCUAUGACGGACAGUCUCUUUCACCAAUUAGCGGCGGGGGCGGGGCUCCAGGGUGAUCCGCCGCCGGCUGGGAGUGGCGGCCAGAGCUCGAGGGGCGUCACCGACGACUGGUGAGAGGCAGACGAAGUUAACUUGAGCGACGUCACCGUUACCCAAUGACAAUGGAGAGCGGCAGGACGCGCGUUCCCGCUGGCCAAUAGCAGUCUCGGGGCGGGUGAGGGAGGCGGGCGGUUCCCUGAGGCGGAGCUGGAGGGGUGGGCCGGGCGCCCCCUCAGCUGAGCGCGGGCCCCGCGGACCGGGGGAUGCGGCGGGAUCUGCGGACAGAAUUAGCUAUCAUAAUAUCCUCGUUAUGCAGAUCAUCCCACCAAGGUUGUUGCUGACAGCGAAGGAC
rnacentral:lncRNA from 1 species